CCGACGCCUAGGCGAGCCUCGAGGGAUUCCGGCGCGGGCGGGGAUCGACACGAGGCUACCGGCUACGUCUCCUCUUCCUCCACGCUGAUGCUCCUUACGGCAGCCACUCGUCCGCGUGGCGGACAGGGUUAGAUUCACGAGGGAUUCCAGCGCGGGAGGGGAUCGACCCGAGGCGACGCAUCCAGCCCGAAUCAACCUGACACGAUGCGCGAGGAUGCGGCGCGGCGAACCCUAGGUGCCGCCGCCAUGCCUACUGCCUCGCCAGUUGCAUCGAGGAGAUCUAUCUUACAAGGUCAAGGUGCAAUUCCUCAAGCAUACUGGAUGGUCACCAAAGCCUAAUUGAGAAAUUAUUCAACCUAUCCAUGGAUCAGGUUGAAAAAGGCAUGAUAUUGUGCGUUGUGUAUUCCAAAUGGAUUGUUGUGGUGGAUGUGGUAACACAACUUUGAUUUCUUUGCGUGCCAAAGAGACAAAAGGAUAGCACAUUUUCAAACUUGAGACACGGAGCUUGCAGAAGACUUUUUGAUUUGUAUUCAACCCAGGACACAGUAUGAGCAUGGCCAUUUCAACAAUAGGUAGUUUCUCUUAAAUAUACUACUUUGUUAGCUUGCAGUUAUAAUGUAGAGGGUAUUUUCUUCUGAAAUAACCAUACAUUGUUAGCACACUAUAUCUUGGGCCAAUUCUGAUUAUUUGAUCAUUUAUCUAUUUACUGCCUGCAUCCAUGUUUUCACAUCUUUUGUUUUACUACCCACCCAUUCCAUAUUAUGUGUUAUUGAUUUAGUACAAUGUACUAAAUCAACGACAGUUAAUAUGAAAUGAAGGGAGUACUUUGCAAGAAUAAAAGUAUAUUUCUACAUUAGUUUCGGCCUAAAGUUGUACGGAGUACAUUACUUUGAGAUCAACUGAAUGUGAUUCUGGUACUGUUAUAUAUUGUGAGAACCUUAGCACAGCUGCCUAAUACAAUAGCAUAAGAAUAUCCCGUCUUGAUUACUGAACAAUGUAUCUUUAUGUAUUGGAUUUAUAUGUUUCAUUUCUCUUAUAUUUAUCAGAAUCACUAUCAUUUGAACGAAAAAUUAGACGGGCGUAGCAACGCGCGCCAUCGAUGAUCUAGUUGGGAUAACAAGAAGGUAAAUAGCUUGCAUGAUCCCUUUUUUUGAAUGUUUGGUAUCCACUCUCUGCGUCAAACUUAGCGUCAAAUAAGCAGAUCCUAGCUACAGAUGGGGAGGUGUAGAAUGCUUGUCUAUAAGCCCAAUUAAACUGUUUGCCCAUGUGUGAUUGUGUAAUUUUACUCUCAGCUGCUUGCGCAGCAUGGACCUGGAAAUACUGGAUCCUGUAUGUUACUGCAGAAAUUUGACUAUCUCUUUUUAUCAAGGUUUAGAAAUACUUAAGAAAGCUUAGUACUAUUUGAUGGUUGUAAGAAUCAAGUUACAAUAAUUAAUAUAGGAAGAAAUACACUUCAAAAUUUACUCGGGGCUAUGUUGGUCAUCUGGCUACAUCUUUGGAGAAAAUUGCUAGAUAUGCUACUUCCAUUGGCAUAUAUGUUUCCUCUCUAGUUGAUUUGUGUAAACAGUAGACCAUAUAUAUACUACCACAUUAUAUUGACAAGAGGUAUAGAGGACGUACAUAUGUACUACCUUGAAAAUUCCUUUGUGUGUGCUAUGCUAUGCCUGAGGAGUGCACAACAAAUGCUUCUUCAGCACUAAUGGGAGAUUUUGUACAUGUUUAGCAGUUCAAUGUUUUCAGGAUUAGAAGCUUUUUCAAUAACUUAUCUGAAUUUGUAGCUCAAUAUGUUACUCAUGUAUGUAGGUGUAUUUAAGUCUU